UCUGGAUUGGGUACGACAGCUGACGGUGAUAGAUAGCUGGGUCCAGGAUAGGCCUCCUGAGGAGUUAUGUGCUGGCCUGGGACAAGGAGCCAGGUGCCUCCUCCUCGGACCCUCCACCUGUCGCUAAAGUGCUUGAGCGCUGAGGUCGACUCUCCCUGUACUGCACGUACAGGGACGCCCCACCAGCAGUGGUCCCCUCUUCCUGUCUCUCCUCCUCUCAGCAACCACUUCAACAUUGACUUCCCCUCCACAAGGACCGGGACCUUGCCGUGGUGUGGAGGUUUCAUACAAACACCGGUCCACCCACCCUGCAACAACUCUUCUACAGGACAGUGACACUACGUUUCUUUAAAAAAAAAAAAAAAAAAACAUUCUAUGUCUGCUGUGAUGUGAUGUAUGUGGUUUAAAAAAAAAAAAACAUCCACACCACUGUGUUCUGCAUUCUGCAUCUCUACACUGAACACUUAUGCCGUGUGUCUGCUCUGAUGUUUUUAUUUUUUAUUAUUGUUUUGUAGUUUAAAAUAAACAAUCUAUAUGUAUAAUAUAUAGAAUAUAUAACACACUGUCAUGUCUAUGUGCUGUUAUGUUCUAUGCACUGACAAGUUGUAUAGACCUACUAUGUAACAUUUAGCCUAGGCCUACGUUUCAACAAGAACGCCCAGACCAAUACUGUUGACAGGAGCAUCAAUUAUCUAUUUCUACAGUAAGGAAUUUCCGUUGCCUACCAUAGGAGUUCAUCAAGUCUGAAGUAGCACGUCAAUGCAAAACAAUC